rnacentral:rRNA from 1 species
GCGUAACGCGUAUACAAUCUACCUUUAACAAAGGGAUAGCCCAUGGAAACGUGGAUUAAUACCUUAUAAUAUAUAUGAAUGGCAUCAUUUAUAUAUCAAAGAAUUUCGGUUAGAGAGGAGUAUGCGUGACAUUAGCUAGUUGGUGAGGUAACGGCCCACCAAGGCAACGAUGUCUAGGGGUUCUGAGAGGAUGAUCCCCCACACUGGUACUGAGACACGGACCAG